GUAAUCUCAGAGUAAGGGAUCACCAUUUAAGACAGAGUUUCACAGCUGAAAGAUUACAGCCCAGGCCACGUCCUGGUGAAACACCUCUGGGUUGGUGGUGCCAAUAGCAAAGGAAUGCUGUAUUUCAGACUUGCCACAUCAACUGCCCAUACGGAGUUCUGUAACCAGCUGGUUGGCAAGAACCAACACUGUAUGUGUAGGCUGGCUGGGACUCUGGCCAGGUUCACGAGAGUACAUAGUAUGAUCUCACCAGACAGAAACGGAGACAUCACUGGGAAAUAAACAGCAGGGCGUCUCAGGGGAUGACGUUAUCAGCUCAAUGACACAGAUGAACAACUGGAAGGAAGCGGAGGCCUCUGAUGCUCAAAAUUCCAGAUGCUGCUAGACCUGAACGAGUUUCUCCAGGAAUUUCUGUUUGUGUGCGUUUCGGUUCUCCAACAUCCGCAGUUCCUGGUUUUAUCAUCGGCACUUUGCCUGCUUAUGGCUGAAAUACCCGUGGUUCUCUUUUCUGGACCUCACUUGGAGAAAUUCAGUGGUAUCAGCGAAGACAGAAACCUUUCCUGAGGACGAUACAAUUCUUGUUUGAGAGUCAAACAUUAACUCAGUUUCUCUCUCCACUGCGUUCCUUCGGUGAUUAAAAACUUAAAAUAUAGGCCAUAAGUAUUAAUUCAACCUGGUUCUAGAUU